ensembl:ncRNA K10D6.19 ncRNA
ACCAGGAGGAGAAGGGUGCGUAAAGGAGUCGUUAAUUAGGGAAAUAAAGAUAAAACUAAACGAGGUCCGGCGGCAACUUUCAGGGUUGGCGUGUCGCGCGCGAAAUCGGUGUCGAAUCUUUUUGAGACACUUUUGUUGGAU